GACCCAGACUCCUACGGGAGGCAGCAGUGAGGAAUAUUGGUCAAUGGGCGGGAGCCUGAACCAGCCAAGUCGCGUGAGGGAUGACGGCCCUAUGGGUUGUAAACCUCUUUUGCCGGGGAGCAAAGUGCCGCACGUGUGCGGUUUGGAGAGUACCCGGAGAAAAAGCAUCGGCUAACUCCGUGCCAGCAGCCGCGGUAAUACGUAGGGGGCAAGCGUUAUCCGGAAUCACUGGGUGUAAAGGGAGCGUAGACGGCUGUGCAAGCCUGAAGUGAAAGGCGGGGGCCCAACCCCUGGACUGCUUUGGGAACUGUACGGCUGGAGUGCAGGAGAGGUAAGUGGAAUUCCUAGUGUAGCGGUGAAAUGCGUAGAUAUUAGGAGGAACACCAGUGGCGAAGGCGGCUUACUGGACUGUAACUGACGUUGAGGCUCGAAAGCGUGGGGAGCAAACAGGAUUAGAUACCCUCGUAU
rnacentral:rRNA from 1 species